CCUUCCGCCAGCGCCGCCGCGCUUCCGGUCCCUCUUCCGGUCUGGGCGGAGAGCGGCGACCCUCGUCCCGCCCCGCCGCCAUCUUUCCGUGGCGGCGAGGAGGUGGAGCUUUGCUGCCGCCAUCUUGGAUGCGUCCACACGUGUGUCGCACAUCACGGCCCAUCGUAUGUCGCACGGCGGGCGCCAUAUUGGUGGUGGCUGAUGAGCGGCAGCGGUCUGCUCCUCCCUCCUCAUACGGUACAGGGACCUAAAUUGUGUAGUUCCAAAGAGACGGAACAGAGGAAAACCUGGAACAUUCGGUGCAGAGAGCUGGCAUGACAACAGCAAGCAAAAACGUGUAGUAGUGCAUGUGAGGUGGUGCAGAUUAAAACAGCCCACAGGCCACACAGUGCCAGUGCCUGCUGAGAGGAAAAGAAGGAAUCCAAGCCAUCUGAUUUUCAGGCCCAUAUUUCAUUACCUCCUGUAAGGGAACAGAAAAACUAAGCAUAAGAAGACCUCACUGCGAAGCUUCUACCUUCUCCUCCACAAAUGAAGAAGAAAAUGACUCACCUCAUCCUGCUUGGCAGCAUCUGCAAUAUAAACAGAAUCACAAAAGUUGAAGUAAAAAACAUAGUUGGUGAAUAUUCAUUUUGCACCUGCGCUGACCUCAUUAGCACCAGCCCUUCCAGCAACACCACCUCUCUUGCUUUCUUGAAACUGUUCUGCAGGGUUGGGGUACAGAGAAGACCAACUCCUCUUGGAGGUACACAAUGAAAGGAAGAGAGAGAAUACUGCAAAUUGCAGCAAGAGAUUCGAAUGGAGCCAAAGGAUGAUGCCAACUAUGCUUCUGCAGCAGGUCAUUAGUUAAGUGCCUGCUUUAUUCUGCAUGGGAGGAUGCUAUCUGGCUGCAUUCCAGAAGGGAACCCUAAAAGGCAGAAGUUGCUGGUUUUCUCUGAAGACUUUUGGCUAAUACAAGAAGUGCUCUGUAGACGAGACGGUUUCUUUAUGGGAUUGCGUAAUACAGCCCUGCUGAUAUCAAGGAAUCACCACAAGAGGGAUCAAUCUGUACUCCUAUCACUCUGGUCUAAAGGGAGCAAUUAUUGAGAGACAGAAGAUCUCUGAGUUACAGCAGACAUAAGUGGACUACAACAGGGGCACGCAGUCUUCUAGAUGCCAUCUUGUAGCUCUGCAGUGCCCACUGGUCCUUCCAGACACACCACCUAACAAAAUGUUUUGGAAAUAUUCUAUUAAAAGAACAUUAUCUUGUCUAUUUGCUAUGGCUUCAUGUUGGAAUUGAAGCAGUAGUCAGGUUGGCUGACUUUACCUACACUUCUGUGCAGCUGCAGUUCUCAAAUUUGACUGCUACUGCUCAGGUAUACUACCACUGUCAGAGGCUCCCCAGCCAUGUUUAGUGCUGUCAGAGACUUUCUACAUACAAGAAGGGGCAAAAAUUUGUCUCUCACCGUGUCAACACCACAACAGGCACCACAGAAAACCAGAGAUCCAGUGAGCCAUGAAACAUUUACACCAGGACAUUGCACUAGCAAAAUGACAGCUUCAAGACUUUACCACAGAGAAGAAACACUGAGAAAUCCCUGUCAAAUGCUCGAAACAUGCAACUCCAGGAAGCUUGGAGGCUUGGCAAACUGCUGAUGGAUUUUUGAAGUCAAUCUCUUAGACAAUCUCUUAGAGUUCAAACACAAAGAUAAAGAAACAUAUUCUCAAGACUUUGACAAAUAGAUUUCUUACCAUUCUCUCUAAGUUUCCACUGUGCUUCCAGAAGGGCAGCAAAGGAAAGUAAUGAAAGUAAGGCAAAUAGCAGGUGAGACAUCUGUAGGUAAAAAUAUAUAUUACUUAACUUCAUUUAGGAUUGUUGAGUGUGUACUGAAAUUGAGCUCAGUGCUGGAUAAGAGGACAGAUUCCGUUCCAGUGAACUAAGAAACAUCCUCCCAUUCUAAUAAUUCUUAGACUACAUCAAAAUUGCAUAGAAGGUAUGCACUACAGUUCGAGGCAAGAUGUUGAUCUGUUAGUUAUUCAUACCACAAACCAGUAUGAGAGAAGAAAUCAUGGCACUUGGAGGCAACUGUGUGCACAGCUCUUGACCUUUAUCUGGUCAAGUGAACCAGAUAAAGAACUAGACCUGGUACUAGGUCUAAUAUCUGACCUUUAUCUGGUCGAGGGCUCAGAAGCAUUCUCAGAUGCCUGAGUCAAAUAUUCCUUGAUCAAGAGAAGCUCUACUGGUGCUCGUGAGGCUUCUUACAGAAUAAGGCACUGAACCAAACGAUCGAUGAACAUAAAUUCCAGUUCUACAAAGCUUUUAAAUAUGUAUCGGUAGUUCUAUAUAAAAAGAGCAUUGUGACUAAAACAAAGCAUCCAGUGAAGUAUUUUUCUAGGCUGCAGUGUUCACCAUCUCUGUGAGAUCAAGUGAUAAUAGUGAUACUGCAUUGUAGAGAUGGCUUCACAACUGACUAACCGGUACUAGGUCUAGUAUCCAUCUCAGGCUGCACAACCUCAGUUAAUUUGCAAGCAAUUUCUGGAAAAAUCUCUACUGAUAUCAGUGCCACAGCUGUAUUUCAGAAAUGGCUGGAUAGGUAUAUCAUUGUUGCUGUGUUGACUUGAGAAGUGUAAAUAUAGCUCACUUGACUACAUAGAUAUAGAUGUAUAUAAAAAGAAUUUUUCAUGACAUCGAAAACAUGAAAACGUGUGCAUAUUCAAUAUGUAGUAGAUAUACUUACUAUAUAUAUAUAUUAUAUAAUAUUUAUUCUCUGAAUCUCAUGUAAAAUACUUUAUCCUGAAUUCAAAAUACAGUGAUAUGGCUUUGUUAGAAGGCAAACACUCUUAGCUCCCGAUUUCUACUGUAGACAGGAUUAUCUGUAAUUUGUGAAUGAAAACUACGUUUUGUCUCUUUCUCAAAGAUACUCAUUUCUUUUACAGCCACGUGGCAUUCAUCACUGUGCUUCAUAAAGCUGAUACCUGAAGUAUUGAUUGAAAACUUGAAGAGAGGAGAAGGGAUACAAAGAGCUUUCUUUUCAGUAUCACCAUCAAAAUUUAGAGCUUUCAAAUAAAAAAGUUUUUCCUA